CUGACAUCGUGCAAACUGGCCUAUAUAGGAUUCAGUUGUGUUGAUGUUGUGUCGGCUGUGCAGUGGUUAGACAGAAUGCAGAGACUUCUAUCCGCUGGGAUUGUGAUUCUGAUCAUGCUAACAGUAACGGUAACUGUACAUGGGAAGACACCGCCCAAAAACGAGACAGGUAAACCAUGCUUUGAGAAUGAUAAACACUAUAACGAAUACGACAGGAUCAGCACCAACUGUUGGUGCAUCGAUGGAGAAAAAAGCUGCUUAAUUAGUUAUAACAGGAAACCGAAUGAGAUUGAAAUAACGCCCGACAGAUCCAAAUAGCAAGGGGACACUUCACGAAUUCGGAUUUUCUUUUUUUCUUCAUGUAUGCGAUUUAAUCGAAAUAGUGUAUCAUUUUUCUUAUGACUAUGUCCUGUAUCUUAUUCUUGUUAAAAAGAAAAAAAGAAUAAAUAAACGUUUUAAGGAAUCAGAAAUAGCGAUGAUAGAAAUAAUGUAUUUAAUACAUAAAUGAAAUUGCAUGUAUGUUUGUAUGUGUUUGAUGUUUAUUUUUUUUAAUUUCAUUUGGGGCCACCAAAUUCACUUCGCCUAGGGCCUCCAAUUAUCUAAGGCCGGCCUUGGAAAAAUCUCGAUAAAACUUUGCUAUUUGUAGAUAU
rnacentral:sRNA from 1 species